GAUGAACGCUGGCGGCGUGCCUAAUACAUGCAAGUCGAGCGAAUGGAUUAAGAGCUUGCUCUUAUGAAGUUAGCGGCGGACGGGUGAGUAACACGUGGGUAACCUGCCCAUAAGACUGGGAUAACUCCGGGAAACCGGGGCUAAUACCGGAUAACAUUUUGAACCGCAUGGUUCGAAAUUGAAAGGCGGCUUCGGCUGUCACUUAUGGAUGGACCCGCGUCGCCAUUAGCUAGUUGGUGAAGUAACGGCUCACCAAGGCAACGAUGCGUAGCCGACCUGAGAGGGUGAUCGGCCACACUGGGACUGAGACACGGCCCAGACUCCUACGGGAGGCAGCAGUAGGGAAUCUUCCGCAAUGGACGAAAGUCUGACGGAGCAACGCCGCGUGAGUGAUGAAGGCUUUCGGGUCGUAAAACUCUGUUGUUAGGGAAGAACAAGUGCUAGUUGAAUAAGCUGGCGCCUUGACGGUACCUAACCAGAAAGCCACGGCUAACUACGUGCCAGCCGCCGCGGUAA
rnacentral:rRNA from 1 species